AAUUAGCCCCGAUUGAAGUGGAAAUCCUUUUGCUUUUUUCUUUAAAAAGCAAAAGAUUGUAACGAAAAGCGGGAACGAUG
rnacentral:sRNA from 1 species